GACGAACGCUGGCGGCGUGCCUAAUACAUGCAAGUAGGACGCAGUUGCGAACGGGUGAGUAACGCGUAGGGAAAUACCUAUUAGAGGGGGGUAACUAUUGGAAACGAUAGCUAAUACCGCAUACUAGUAGAUGGACCUGCGGUGUAUUAGAUAGUAGGUAGGGUAAUGGCCUACCUAGGCAACGAUACAUAGCCGACCUGAGAUGGGUAGCGGCCAAACUGGGACUUAGACCAGGCCCAGACUCCCUCGGGAGGCAGCAGUAGGGAAUCCUCGGCAAUUGUGGGAACCCUUACCGAGUAACGCCGCGGGAGUGAAGAAGGUUUUCGGAUCGUAAAGCUCUUUUGUUAAGGAAGCGGUACUUAACCAGAAAGGGACGGCUAACUACGUGCCAGCAGCCGCGGUAAUUC
rnacentral:rRNA from 1 species